CAGUCGCCGCGGGAACACGAAGGGGGCUAGCGUUGCUCGGAAUUACUGGGCGUAAAGGGCGCGUAGGCGGAUGUUUAAGUCAGAGGUGAAAGCCCAGGGCUCAACCUUGGAACUGCCUUUGAUACUGGACAUCUUGAGUGUGGGAGAGGUGAGUGGAACUCCGAGUGUAGAGGUGAAAUUCGUAGAUAUUCGGAAGAACACCAGUGGCGAAGGCGACUCACUGGCCCAUUACUGACGCUGAGGCGCGAAAGCGUGGGGAGCAAACAGGAUUAGAUACCCCUGUAGUCCCUGUCUCUUAUAC
rnacentral:rRNA from 1 species